rnacentral:misc_RNA from 1 species
UCGUAAAACCGAGAGGCAUGAGGGUUGUCGCUGACCUUUCGAGGUCGUGCACGCCCGAGCGCUCUCGCCACAAUCCAUCCCACCCCUUUUGUGCAUCACCGCGUGGGUCCGCCCCCCUUUGCGGGGGAGGGCUCGCGUUUUCAUCAAAAAAUCGAUACAGUUUAGAAUGUCCUUUUUUUUUUGCGGUCACACGCAAUCAAUA